CUCCCCCUCACUGUCUCACUCCCACAACACAACACCCAUUUCUCAUCCGCCGGUUCUCAUCGGAGGACCUCCAACAAACAGCGCAAGGGUUUCCAGUCACGCUUCGCCGCCAUGAGAGCCAAGUGGAAGAAGAAGAGGAUGAGGAGGUUGAAGAGGAAGCGCCGAAAGAUGAGGCAGAGAUCUAAGUGAGAGGAGCAGCUGCGUGGAGCUCGUUCGCAUGGCGGAUCUUCUGACCCCUAGGGUUUUGGAUCUUGUCAGACUUAGCGGUUUGUUUAGAAUUAAUGUGAAACCUUUGAUGUUCUUAUCUUUUUACCUUUGCUACCUUUCUUACUAUUCAAAUGAAAUUUGACUGCUUUUUAUAA